CAAUUAAUACCCCGCACUUUGUUGUCUGGUUGUCUUCUCGUUCUUUCUUUAUGGUGGAUGUGGAUCCUCUCCAUAUAUUAUCGUAGUCGGACGGCUCAAUUUUCACCAUGCCAGUCGCUUAUUCCACUUUGGGCGGCUGCUGGGAUUGAAUAUGCCUUUUCGUUUUUUGUUUUUCUGAAGCACGGUGAUUUAGGGAGAAUUAGGAGGUUCUUUGUCCAUGGAGGGUUGGUGAGGGGCGCUUGAUUUAUUGGCCCGAUAAGAGGUAGAUGAGGUUCAAAGGGGAAUUUUUAUCCGUGGGGUGAUAUUUGGUGGAAUAAGUGAGUUUUCUUCUUCCUUAUAGCAGGCAUCCAAGGUUAGGGUUUCCAAGGACGUGAAAAUCCAUAACUGGGCAGAGCUUGGAAGACGCGACUAAUUGUUUUAUGGAGAAUGAAGGAUAAAAAAUGGAUCAAGGCACUGAGGAUCUUUUCUAAAUUUGAUCCCCGUGAAAAAAUGAAGUGCUUGAAUCCUGGGAUGCAUCUUAAAGAUGAAAUGGUUACUAUAGAUUUUUCAGCGAGUGAACAAUCUUCACGAAUUGAUGAUGGUGAGAGGAGAUCUGAAACUAGUAACAUUGAAGAGGCCGAGUCUUCCCUUCGUGAAGGUGGUUGCCUCAACUAUGAGGAGGCAAGAGCCUUGCUUGGAAGGUUGGAGUAUCAAAGAGGAAACAUAGAAGCCGCACUUCAUGUAUUUGAUGGAAUUGAUAUUGCUGCGGUAACACCUAAAAUUAAGAUCUCUAUUGCUAGAAGAAUAGGGCGUCAUAAGUCAAAGUUACAUUGGGAUGCACCACCCAUGUCAAUACAUGCAGUCAGUUUACUUAUGGAGGCUAUAUUUCUUAAAGCAAGGGCACUCCAUGACCUUGGCAAAUUUGUAGAAGCAGCACAAUCCUGCAGUUUGAUACUGGAUAUUGUAGAAUCUGCAUCACCAAAUGGUUUGCCAGGAAUCUUCAGCAAAGGUUGUAGAUUGCAGGAGACAAUCUGUAAGUCUGUUGAAUUACUUCCUGAAUUGUGGAAAAUGGCUGAUAAUCCUCAUGGAGCCAUCUCAUCAUAUCGCCGGGCUCUUCUUGGACGGUGGAACCUCGAUCUUGUGGUCAUUGCAAAGAUACGGAAAGAAUUUGCUAUUUUUCUUCUUUAUGGUGGUUGUGAUGCAGGUCCACCUAAUCUGCAUUCUCAAAUGGAUGGUUACUUCACGCCUAAGAACAAUGUGGAGGAGGCUAUCCUUCUUUUAAUGAUUCUCUUGAGUGAUUUCAAUGAGAAGAAAGCUGAAUGGGAUCCAUCAAUAGUUGAGCACCUUACUUUUGCACUGGCGAUCUCGGGUCAGCUAAGACCUCUAGCUAAUAAGUUUGAGGAAUUGCUUCCUGGUUUUCUGAAUAGAAAGGAAAGAUAUUAUCAACUUGCGUUAUGUUAUCUAGGAGAGGGUGAUAGUUUGACUGCCUUAAACCUACUGAAAAAGAUUUUCAGUGAUAGAGAGGGUCCAAAUUGUGUUAAAGAUCUCCUACUAGCUUCCAAAAUUUGUGGGGAGAGCAGUGCUAAUGCAGAAGAAGGUGUAUCUUUCUCACGAAGAAUGCUUGCUAGUUUGGAUGGCAGGUGUGAAUCACUUAAAAGUGUUGCCAAUUUUUUACUUGGCGUUUCUCUUUCAGCUCAGGCUAGGUCAUCUGCUUCUGAUUCCGAAAAAGUUGCUAAACAGGACGAGGCACUUGAAGUUCUUGAAAAAGCUGAGAAAUUUAUGCAAGUAAAAGACUAUAGAGUAAUAUAUCACCUCAGCUUAGAAAAUGCAGAGCAGAGGAAGUUGGAUGUAGCACUCUAUUAUGCCAAACAGCUGCUGAAAUUGGAAGCUGGGUCAAAUGUGACGAGUUGGAUUCUUGUUGCUCGAAUAUUAUCAGCGCAGAAGAGGUUCAUUGAUGCUGAGACUAUUAUUAAUGCUGCUCUGGAUCAGACAGGAAAAUGGAGCCAGGGAGAACUUCUACAGACUAAAGCCAAAAUUCAGAUUGCACGAGGGCAACUAAAGAAAGCAGUGGAGACGUACACUGAUCUUCUUGCUGUCAUCCGACUUCGUACUAAAAAUUUGGCUGUUGGAAUGAAGUGUUCAAAGAUUGCUGAGAUAGAUAGAAAAUUGGAAAUGGGAACUUGGUAUGAUCUGGCUAAUGUUUAUACAGGCAUGUCCCAUUGGAGGGAUGCUGAGGUUUGCAUCUCCAAAUUGAAGGCUAUUAGUCCUUACUCUGCUUCAGGGUGGUAUGCCACAGGACAACUUCAAGAAGCAAAGGGACUUCAUAAAGAAUCUUUGGUAUCAUAUUCUAAAGCUCUUGAUUUGGAACCAACACAUGUUCCAAGUUUGAUUUCUACAGCCAUUGUACUUAGACAUUGUGGUGACCGGCAAUUUGCUCUUGUAAGAAGCUUCCUAGCUGAGGCAUUGCGUCUAGAUAGAACUAGCCAUGUUGCUUGGUUCAAUCUUGGUUUACUUUAUGAAGCUGAGGGUGCUUCAACUGUGGAGGCUGCUGAGUGUUUCCAGGCAGCUGCCAUUCUCGAAGAGUCAGCACCAGUUGAACCGUUCUCAUGAUCAAUGGAUACAACAAAAGGAAUGUUAUGCCAAUCUAUUGGCCCAUGCAUUGUACCAUCUUUGAUGCGUUGUGAAUUUCCUACAAAAAUUUAAAUCAGGUUCACUCUUCUCGGAUGCUAAUAGAGAAAUUUAGUGGCUGUUGGGAUCACUUUUGUUUAUUAUUUAUUAUUUAUUAUUUAUUAGUUUUUUGGUUUAUUUAUAUUUGUAUGAAAUAAAAAUUUUUUAUGUCUUAAAAAAAUAUUUUUAUUUAUUUAUGCAUCAGUGGCCUCAAUUGUUCAUGAGGCCGCCAUAGCGGUGGAGGCCAUCGAUGGUUGUAAGCGAUUGUGGCCAAUGGUAUUCGAUGGUGGUGACAGCUGAUGGUGAUAUUUAUUUUUAAAAAUAUUCAAAUAAAAAAAAAAACCUUAAUCAGACUCGUUGUUUUUCAUGUUUUUAUUGUAGUUUUCUGUAAUAAUCUUUCGCUUCAAGAAGUUGUUGCUUCAAAAUGGAAGCAUGCAAUGAAAGUCAGACAGAGGCUUAUUGCUUAGAGAGAGAAAUUUUAGAAUAGUUCCAACCCGCUCAUCAAGUGCAUAAAAAAAAUAUUCAUAAGGUAGAUGUAUGAAAAUGGUGUAAAUAUAUUCUCUGGUCGAAUGUUUUCAAAACACGUAUUUUAGGAAUUCAAAGUAAUUAAAAUGCAGUAGUUAUUUUGUUGGAUGCAAAUCAAAUAUAUUAAAAUGUUUGUGUUUAUUAUGUUACAUAUUAAUGCAAUGAGGGCAGGAUCAAAUGGUGGGGCGACAAUGGCGGCUUGUUGGUGAUGGGCGGUGACUGAUAAUUAUGAUGGCCAUUGGCUUCCGACAGUCAGCGUUGGCGGGCGGAUAAGGUGAAGUUAUGAGCUGUUGCCUUUAAGUGCACCAUGAUCACAAUGCAACUUGGGUUUCUUUUGAGUUUUCAAAAGGAAGUUGUAGUAUAAAGAGAAUUCCACAUUGUCUUCUUACAGGCAUUAAGGAUGUGGUGGAUUUGGUUAAAUGUCAACCAAGGAGUUAUAAACAGAGGCAAGUCUUUCCUUAUUUUCCAUAUCAGAAGUUUGAGUUCUAGCACAGAAUUUAGAGGAAGCUAUAUACUUAAACGGCUCGAUCUACAUGCUGGAAAGCUUCAAUAUAGACAGUGAAAAUUGGCUGUUGCAAGUGAAGGACAGCGAAAUCUAUAACAACCAGAUGAUCAAGUUAAAAGAUCGAGACCACUAGUACGCCUAUUUUUCUGCUGAUGGAAAUUGGAUUUACCUGAAGUUAAACUUUUGGGAGAGCAGCGUUGACUUUUUGCCUGAAAAUAUAGUUGUAAAUCAUGCGUUUAACCUUUCAGAAUUCGCAAGCAACUUUUUGUCACUCGUUGAGCAUGCGUUUAACUACUCAA